UACGGGGGGGGCAAGCGUUGUUCGGAAUUACUGGGCGUAAAGGGCUCGUAGGUGGCCAACUAAGUCAGACGUGAAAUCCCUCGGCUUAACCGGGGAACUGCGUCUGAUACUGGAUGGCUUGAGUUUGGGAGAGGGACGCGGAAUUCCAGGUGUAGCGGUGAAAUGCGUAGAUAUCUGGAGGAACACCGGUGGCGAAGGCAGCCCCCUGGGUUAACACUGACGCUCAGGCACGAAAGCGUGGGGAGCAAACAGG
rnacentral:rRNA from 1 species